CUUGUUCCUAGCAUUUUCAAACUUCAUCAGAAGAUGAUGGACAAAUACACGAUUCACAUCUACGCUCUAGGCUUGCUACUAUCUCUCCAUCUCCUAUGCUGCACGCCUACUGUGCAAUGUCGGAUCAUGGGCGAAGAAGACGUGGAUGAGAAGAUCAAUUUACCGUAUGGGCUUUGUGUCAACAAUAGACCAUGCAAAGCUGGAUGGGUCUGGUUGUGUUGUCUCCUCAAUCAAGAGUGCUAUCCGUCCAUGGAUGCGUGCAAGAAAGAUUGUCUGAAACCCUCUGCUGCUGACAUGGUGUCCAUGAAAAUGACCCGCUCUCCUUUACCCGCCUCCUCUCCCACGUCAUCAUUAGGUUCAAUUUGAAUUACCUAUAUUUUUCCCGGGACCUAAUGGAUAUUGUGUGAAAAAAUAAUUUGGAAUAGAAGUAUCUCAUACAUUAGUUGUUGCAAUUUGAUUUGACAUGUUGCAUCAAUCUUUAAGUUUUGUUACCAAUUAUUGCCGAUAACUCAGUUUUUCAAACAUUGAUGCCCAA